CACACGCAGGCGGCGGCGGUGCGCGGUUUUUAAAUGCGGGGAGUUUCUCGGGUUUAUGAACUUGCGUUUCGCUCCGGUGUCAAAGGCGACUUUGGCUCAAACGGCCUGCGGAGGCUUAACCGGAAAACAAGAGGAUUA
rnacentral:sRNA from 1 species